rnacentral:rRNA from 1 species
UACGGAGGGAGCUAGCGUUAUUCGGAAUUACUGGGCGUAAAGCGCACGUAGGCGGUUACUCAAGUCAGAGGUGAAAGCCUGGAGCUCAACUCCAGAACUGCCUUUGAAACUAGGUGACUUGAAUCCAGGAGGGGUGAGUGGAAUUCCGAGUGUAGAGGUGAAAUUCGUAGAUAUUCGGAAGAACACCAGUGGCGAAGGCGCUCACUGGACGUGGUAUUGAACGCUGGAGGUGCGGAAAGCGUGGGGAGCAAACAGGAUUGAGAUACCCCGUGUAG